AUUGAACGCUGGCGGCAUGCCUUACACAUGCAAGUCGAACGGCAGCACGGGUGCUUGCACCUGGUGGCGAGUGGCGAACGGGUGAGUAAUCCAUCGGAACAUGUCCUGUAGUGGGGGAUAGCCCGGCGAAAGCCGGAUUCAUACCGCAUACGAUCUACGGAUGAAAGCGGGGGACCUUCGGGCCUCGCGCUAUAGGGUUGGCCGAUAGCUGAUUAGCUAGUUGGUGGGGUAAAGGCCUACCAAGGCGACGCUCAGUAGCUGGUCUGAGAGGACGACCAGCCACACUGGGACUGAGACACGGCCCAGACUCCUACGGGAGGCAGCAGUGGGGAAUUUUGGACAAUGGGCGAAAGCCUGAUCCAGCAAUGCCGCGUGUGUGAAGAAGGCCUUCGGGUUGUAAAGCACUUUUGUCCGGAAAGAAAUCCUUGGCUCUAAUACAGUCGGGGGAUGACGGUACCGGAAGAAUAAGCACCGGCUAACUACGUG
rnacentral:rRNA from 1 species